GACUCCGUGGCGUAAUGGUAGCGCGUCUGACUCCAGAUCAGAAGGUUGCGUGUUCAAAUCACGUCGGGGUCA
rfam:Nematostella vectensis strain CH2 x CH6 NEMVEscaffold_251_Cont20853, whole genome shotgun sequence.